UGGGGAAUUUUGGACAAUGGGGGCAACCCUGAUCCAGCCAUGCCGCGUGCGGGAAGAAGGCCUUCGGGUUGUAAACCGCUUUUGUCGGGGAAGAAAUCUUCUGAGCUAAUACCUCGGGAGGAUGACGGUACCCGGAGAAUAAGCACCGGCUAACUACGUGCCAGCAGCCGCGGUAAUACGUAGGGUGCAAGCGUUAAUCGGAAUUACUGGGCGUAAAGCGUGCGCAGGCGGUCUUGCAAGACAGAUGUGAAAUCCCCGGGCUCAACCUGGGAACUGCAUUUGUGACUGCAAGGCUGGAGUGCGGCAGAGGGGGAUGGAAUUCCGCGUGUAGCAGUGAAAUGCGUAGAUAUGCGGAGGAACACCGAUGGCGAAGGCAAUCCCCUGGGCCUGCACUGACGCUCAGGCACGAAAGCGUGGGGAGCAAACAG
rnacentral:rRNA from 1 species